AACGAACGCUGGCGGCAUGCCUAACACAUGCAAGUCGAACGAGACCUUCGGGUCUAGUGGCGCACGGGUGCGUAACGCGUGGGAACCUGCCCUUAGGUUCGGAAUAACUCCCCGAAAGGGGUGCUAAUACCGGAUAAUGUCUUUGGACCAAAGGUUUAUCGCCUUUGGAUGGGCCCGCGUUGGAUUAGCUAGUUGGUAGGGUAAAAGCCUACCAAGGCGACGAUCCAUAGCUGGUCUGAGAGGAUGAUCAGCCACACUGGGACUGAGACACGGCCCAGACUCCUACGGGAGGCAGCAGUGGGGAAUAUUGGACAAUGGGCGAAAGCCUGAUCCAGCAAUGCCGCGUGAGUGAUGAAGGCCUUAGGGUUGUAAAGCUCUUUUACCCGGGAUGAUAAUGACAGUACCGGGAGAAUAAGCUCCGGCUAACUCCGUG
rnacentral:rRNA from 1 species